CAUUAGGUUGGAUGAACCCGUGUCUCCUAUUUUUUUUAAUUUUAUCUGUCUCUCUCUCUCUGUCUCUACGCCGAUGCUCUCUCGUGGAUCCAGAUCUCCAUCUCCAGAAUUGCCCUUGAUCUCGCCGCCACUGCUCCGCUGCUCCUCCGCCAUUCAUCUCCAGAGCUGUGUAUGGUAAAAAAUAUUCACCAUAUUAUAUUUUAAGCAAGUGAAUGUUUGGGGAUUUGUUAGGAAGAAAAAAUCAUACUCCUAAAAGUGAAACUCUUCGAAAUCACUCACUUGUUACGCCUAUGCCUACGCCUACGCCUACGCCUACCAAGUGUUUGUUGGUUAUUCUGUGAGAAGCGAGAAGCGAGAAGCGAAGAGAUAGAUAAAAAGGACAAGUUUUAUUGUUGUGGUUGAUGAUAUGGCAAACAGCAAAUACGAGUACGUGAAAUCAUUCGAAAUAGAAGACCAAGUUAUGCUGCCUAAUUUGAUCCUUGUUCUAAUCGACGGCCGCGAUUUUCGCAGAUUUUCUGAUAUUCAUGACUUUGAGAAACCAAAUGAUGAGAAAGCUUUGAAUUUGAUGAACUCUUGUGCAAUUGCUGUUUUAGAGGAGUUUCCAGAUGUAGUCUUCUCAUAUGGAUUCAAUGAUGAGUACAGCUUUGUUUUCAAAAAGGAGACCAAGUUUUACCAAAGGCGUGCAAGCAAAAUACUAUCCCUUGUUGUUUCUUUCUUCACAUCUACGUAUGUCACAAAAUGGAAAGAAUAUUUUCCUCAUACGGAGUUAAGGUUUCCCCCUUCAUUUCAAUCUCGGGUUAUAGUCUGUGCAUCAAUGGAGGUUCUACAAGCAUGUCUUGCAUGGAGACAAAAUGACUGUCAUGUCAAAAACCUGUACAAUACUUGUCUUUGGAUGCUGAUUAAAAAUGGAGAUACUGAAAGGGAAGCACGAAAAUUUUUGGAGGACCAGUUUCCUCAUAAACAACAUAAACAUGAGCUACUUUUCCAACGGUUUGGUAUCAACUACAAAAAACUUCCUAACAUGUUCCGUCAAGGAUCAUGUGUUCUCAAGACAGAGAUGGAAGAUAUUGUUAAGUACAAUGAUGAUGGCACUCCUAUUAAAAGACUGCGGAGGAAGGUGAUAGUCGUCCAUUCAGAAAGUAUAGCCUCAAGAAGCUUUUGGAAUGGGCACUCGUAUCUACUGAAAGAUGUGGGUAGUUUUGAAGAUGACAUUAACAAAAUUAAACCUGAGUAUAUCAAGGCUUUCCAAUUUGAACACAAGUUGAUGCCUUCUACUUGGAUUGUAGUUAGAAUUGAUGGUUGUCACUUUCACAGAUUUUCUGAAGGUCAUGAAUUUGAGAAACCAAACGAUGGCCAAGCUUUAAACCUUAUGAAUUCAUGUGCAGUGGCAGUGCUUGAAGAGUUUCAGGAUAUAGUCUUUUCAUAUGGUGUUAGUGAUGAGUACAGCUUUGUUUUGAAGAAGGAUUCUCAAUUCUAUCAGAGGCAUGCCAGUGGCAUUGUGUCUGUCAUUGUAUCAUUUUUCUCUUCCAUGUAUGUAAUGAAGUGGAAAGAUUUCUUCCCUCAAAAAGAGUUGAAGUACCAUCCAUAUUUUGAUGGACGAGCGGUAUGCUAUCCAUCAACAGUGAUACUUCAAGAUUAUCUAGCAUGGAGACAAGUUGAUUGCCACAUUAACAAUCAGUACAAUACUUGUUUCUGGAUGCUUGUCAAGUCCGGCAAAAGCAAAAGGGAAGCUCAGGACUCCUUAAAGGAUACUCAAGCGCAAGAGAAAAAUAAUUUGCUUGUCCAGCAAUUUGGUAUUGACUACCAAAAAUUACCAGUCAUGUUCCGUCAAGGAUCAUCUGUUUUCUGGGACAAGGGAGAUGAGGCUGUGACGUACAAUAAUGGUCCUUGCGUGAAAUUGCAGAAAAAAGUUGUUGUGGAACACUGUAAUAUAAUUGAGCAGAGCUUUUGGAAUGCACAUCCAUGCAUCCUUGAUGAAAAGCAGUAGAUGCUAUGAAGUAUCUGGUCUAGUUUUUCCCAUCUAACUUAUGUAAUUUCAUUGCUCAAACCUCAAUUCAGGUAUAGUUGUAUUGUAGUAUUAUGUAGUGCCCAAAAUUUCAUAAGUUGAUAGUUUUGCUAAUCUCUGAUUGAGAUUACAUUGUAUUGACGCUUAGGGUACAUAUAGGGAGGACAUGGGCUAGUAAUUUCUAGUCAUUAUUCUGGACUGUAAUUGAUUGUUCCGAGGGAGUGAACCUUGUACACUCCAGAGGACUAGGCUUAAUGUGUCUUAUGUGCUCAUGAUGUAUGGAAAUAAGCUUUUCCCUCCAAAAGUGGCGUGAUAAAAAGAAUUGUGAGAAGUUGGAAGAAAGGAAGAACAAACCUUGGCAAACGGUAAUCUCUUCUUUAAGCAACAUGGGCGGUGGGAAACACUUGACCUAAGGCUCGAUACAAGAAUAUGUGGAUGUGGGAGACAGGCAACAAUCAAAGUGGUAAGAGUUUGAAAGGGCAUCAAAUGGACAAUUGUAUUACGGAUGUCGUGGUGAGAAUGAAGGCUGUAGUUUUUGCGCAUGGUGUAACAUGGAUGCCAAACGGAGAAGCUAUUACUCCUGCAAAUGAAGUUGUUGAGAGGCUAAGGUUUGUAAAUAGUGAUGAUUAUGAUUAUGACUUCUUAAUAUCAAAGUUAUCGAUGAUGCAAGCAAAUCUAGGAGAGACGAAGAAGAUAGUGAUGGGAAGCUUUCUUGUUUCUUCCAUGUUUUUGUUGGUCACACUGUUAGGCUUAGUUAUGAAUUGAAGUGAACAUUGGAACUGUUGAAUUAAUACAAUAAUGAAGUUUUAAUUACACUACAAA